GAUGAAGAACGUAGCGAAAUGCGAUAAGUAAUGUGAAUUGCAGAAUUCAGUGAAUCAUCGAAUCUUUGAACGCACAUUGCGCCCCCUGGUAUUCCGGGGGGCAUGCCUGUUCGAGCGUCAUUUCACCACUCAAGCCUCGCUUGGUAUUGGGCAACGCGGUCCGCCGCGUGCCUCAAAUCGACCGGCUGGGUCUUCUGUCCCCUAAGCGUUGUGGAAACUUUCGCUAAAGGGUGUUCGGGAGGCUACGCCGUAAAACAACCCCAUUUCUAAGGUUAACCUCGGAUCAGGUAGGGAUACCCGCUGAACUUAAGCAUAUCAAUAAGCGGAGGA
rnacentral:misc_RNA from 1 species